UUGGCAUUCUGUUUAAGCUCCACCCCCUCAGUUACCUGGCAACAGCCAAGUAUGCCUGGCUCUAUAGAAGGGGCUGCUUGCCCCCUCCUCAUUCUCUUGCCCUCUUCCCCACUUCCCCUUUGUCCCUUCUCUCCCCAUUUCCCUCCCCCGCUUCCCUCCACGUGCUCACGGCUGGCCUUUACUUUCCACGUGGAACCAUUCUGGCCCAUUGUGGUUUGUCCCGACUCGAGCAGAGAUUUCUACCCCAACGGCAAAUCCCUCCCUGCAGCUGACUCUCCAUUCAACAAACGCUAAUUAAGACACCUUGGAGUGCUUCUGGCCAGUUGGGUCCAUUCGCCUUUAAGGAUAUGCCAUCAAUCAGACUAAGGCUCACAAAGACCUGCCCACCUAAAGGGGGCUGAGGCAGCCAGAGAGAGAGAAGGAGAUUAAAUAAUCAGAACUCCACCGGGUAACAGUUGAAGGGGACAGGGACCAGGAGAAGUGUUUCACAGAACUCGCCUACUAUUUGUCGACGUGGAUAGGCUGUUGUGUAUCCCCACCAGCGAAGUACAGAAAUCCCACCGACUUCACUCCCUUGCCGACACUUGAUAAACCCACUCUUAAAAAUAA